GGCUUAAUUUGACUCAACACGGGGAAACUUACCAGGUCCAGACACAGUAAGGAUUGACAGAUUGAAGCUCUUUCUUGAUUCUGUGGGUGGUGGUGCAUGGCCGUUCUUAGUUGGUGGAGUGAUUUGUCUGGUUAAUUCCGAUAACGAACGAGACCUCCGCUUAUUAAAUAAUAUUAUUAUAUUAGUAUAAUAUAUAUUUCUUAAAAGGACACUAGAUUUAUAUUCUAGGGAAGUUGGAGGCAAUAACAGGUCUGUGAUGCCCUUAGAUGUUCUGGGCCGCACGUGUGACACAAUGAUAUAUACAACAAGUAUUAAAUUAUACCUAAAUUGAAAAAUUGUGGUAAUCUUUAAUAUAUAUCGUGUUUGGGAUUGAUGCUUGUAAUUAUUCAUCAUGAACGAGGAACACCUAGUAAGUGCAAGUCAUCAGCUUGCGCUGAAUACGUCCCUGCCCUUUGUACACACCGCCCGUCGCACCUACCGAUUGGAUGGUCCGGUGAAAACAAUAGAAAUUAAUGAAGUUUCGACUAAUUUAGUUAAAGUUGUUUAAAUCUUACUAUCUAGAGGAAGGUGAAGUCGUAACAAGGUUUCC
rnacentral:rRNA from 1 species